ensembl:lncRNA
GGAGGACCAUGAGACAGCAGUGUGCUUUGGUGGCCAAGAAGGCCAAUGGUGGCCUGUACAGGAGGAUCAUGAGCCAACACUGGGCUUUGGUGGCCAAGAAGGUCAAUGGUGGCCUGAACAGGAGGACCACGAGCCAACACUGUGCUUUGGUGGCCAAGAAGGCCAAUGGUGGCCAAGGCAAGAGGACCAUGAGACAGCAGUGUGCUUUGGUGGCCAAGAAGGCCAAUGGUGGCCUGGGCAGGAGGACCAUGAGACAGCAGUGUGCUUUGGUGGCCAAGAAGGCCAAUGGUGGCCUGGGAAGGAGGAGGACCAUGAGACAGCAGUGUGCUUUGGUGGCCAAGAAGGUCAAUGGUGGCCUGG